rnacentral:rRNA from 1 species
UACGGAGGGUGCAAGCGUUGUCCGGAAUUAUUGGGCGUAAAGCGCGCGCAGGCGGUUCCUUAAGGCUGAUGUGAAAGCCCCCGGCUCAACCGGGGAGGGUCAUUGGAAACUGGGGAACUUGAGUACUGAAGAGGAAAGCGGAAUUCCACGUGUAGCGGUGAAAUGCGUAGAGAUGUGGAGGAACACCAGUGGCGAAGGCGGCUUUCUGGUCAGUAACUGACGCUGAGGCGCGAAAGCGUGGGGAGCAAAUAGG